CUCGUUUGGGCUUCGGGCCCAAACAUCCACGACAUCACCAUGGCGACCCGAACCCAACCCUUCAUCUUAUCUUCAGCGACGCCCAGGUCUCCUCAUGUUCAAGAUGCGCGAAAAUCCAAUACUCGACCCGCCAGAUCUUCUUCUUCCAUACGCAACAAUGGCGCUAAACAGUGGUGAGUCCGACGACGCAGCAACACAGACGACGGAUUCCACGUUCAAAAUGCAUAAAAAAAACCCGUCCUUCAAUCGACCGAAACCGAGUCCAAGCACAACUCCGUCCGCUUUCAAAAUGGAUGUGGAAUGCAAUACUGAUAGAAUUCUGUUUCUGUUUUAGUGUGGUGAGGUUAGGUGUGUUGAAGAGAGAAGAAGCUGUGUUGAAGGUGAAGAAAAUGGAAUCAGAGUGAAGAAGAUAGAAGGUGACGAGAAGAUGAAAAAAUGAGAGAGAGUGAAGGUGGUGAGAAGAUGGCGUUUCUGGUUUUUUGCAGAUUUGUUGAAGGUUCCUCCUUCACUGAUAUCUGUUGGAGGAGUUAUAAACAUGGUGAUGGUGGAUAUGAGUUGUUGUUGAUGAACGAUGGAGUGAGGUUUGGUAUUAUGUGGAUUGAAGGUUGAAGAAGAUGGAGUGAGUAAAGAUAGAAGGUGAAGAGAAGAUGGAAGAAAAACAAGCCCAAAAAAAUAUGAACCGUGAAGAAUGACUUAGACUGGCUGUAAGAUGAUGGUAUACGACAUGCGGCCUCGGGUGCAGCAUCCUAGCAUGGUGGAUCUUUGACACAGUUAUGCAGUGUAUCGAAAUUGGACGUGGCUUUGGACAACUUGAACUGUUUUGGAUUUCAUUUGUAGAAUUAAAAUGUAAUUUGGAAAUUUUAGUAUAUAUAGUGUGAAGUUACCAUUGUAACUUGGUUGCACAUGAAGCAUCUUGUAAAAAAUGAUUGGAAUUUGAAUGCUUUGGAUGAAGAGAAAAUAAAUUGGAGAAUUUGUGAA